UGUCUCUGUGUGGCCCAUCGUGGUCGUGUGGCCGAUCGCGGCCUUGUCUCUGUGUGGCCCUUUGUGGUCGUGUGGCCGAUCGCGGCCUUGUCUCUGUGUGGCCCAUCGUGGUCGUGGUCGUGUCUCUAUGUUGCUUGUUUUCUUGUUCUUUCUCCUUCUCUUAUUAUGUUUUAAGUAAAAUUUGCAUAUACUGGUGGUGGUGUUGGUGCUAUGUUAUCAUUACUAAUCUCAAUCGCUCUCGUCUUUUUGUCUAAUCUUCAAUGACUCUUGUGGCUUCGUCUCUGUUUUUAUAUGGUGUCUCAAAAUGUUGCUGCUUAUGAUUAUUGCAUCUGUCGGCCUUUCACGGUCAUUCUACUAUUCAAGGAUUUAGUGUAUGAGUGGUUACCAUGUCCGCCAUCACCGCUCACGGCUUCAUGUCUACUGGCCUAACGUGGCCGUCGUCGCCGCUCAAGGCUCGUGUCUAUGUGGCCUAACGUGGCCGUCGUUGCCGCUCAAGGCUUGUGUCUAUGUGGCCUUUAUCGCCGCUCAAGGCUUGUGUCUAUGUGGCCUAACGUGGCCGUCGUCGCCGCUCAAGGCUUGUGUCUAUGUGGCCUAACGUGGCCAUCGUCGCCGCUCAAGGCUUGUGUCCAUGUGGUCUAACGUGGCCAUUGUCGCCGCUCAAGGCUGUCGUGUUUAUGUGGCUUAUUAUGGCCUCUUCUUUAUGUGAUAUUCUUUCUAAAUCCUUCAUGCCUAAUUAUUAUUAUCUCUGUUUCAGGAUCUGCAAGACUCAUCACUGGCGCGUAUAUAUUCCUCUCACCUCUUUUGGGGGGGUAGGCUCCGUCCAGUUGUGAUAUCUAUUUACCAUCCUUUGGGGGUCGGCUUCGCCCCUGCCUUCAUUCCGGGCAGGAUACGCCGAGCCUACAACCAUUUGGAUGCGUGCUACGGACGGGGCCUACGCCAAAGAACUUUAUCUCGUUGUAUAACUUUCUGGUUGUUAAUAAAUUGUGUUAAAUCAUAAGUUAUUUUGCUCAUGAGUCUUUCUGGUAGAACUAUUUUUGCUGCUAAAAUGGAACAAAAACAGUCGAUGUUCCUUCUAAAAUGUAAGUGGCUUAAUAUUAACUACUUGUUAAUUGAACAGUUGUAUGAAAUCAGUGUCACGUUUUUAAUCGUGAUGGUAGCCUAUAAACAGCAUUCUUUGUUGUGUGGUUUUGCUUACCAGUAUCAAGUUAUAAAAACUCCACAUUUUGAAUUUUUACCGCAGUAUGUUUAACUGAGUUUCUUUUUGUGUGUGCUUCACUCGUUUCCAUUUCUCCUCGAGAUGCUGCGCGAGCCUCCACAGCGCAACCUUGUUAUCGUCACUAAUGAUAACUAAAUGUAAUAAAAUCAGUCACUCGCGUUUUGGUGAUUCCCAAGUUGCUGUUUUUUUGGUUUUUUUUUGUUUGUUUGUUUAUUUGGUAGGCUAUUUACAUUUUAGUCAGGUCCUUGUGCGGUCGGGAAAGUUCGAGCCCUGACAUCCCAGCAAACAAUCGAGACGUUGUCUGACAAAAUCACCAUACACAUAAGAUAGACAUUUGCUGUGAUUUUGGCUAUAUGUACACGUAAAAUGAUCACUCAUGUUAGAAGCAAUAGUAUCUAUUUUAUUUGUUCUCAGAGCGCACAUCCUCAACGCUGAACCAGAGAGGCUGAACAGCUGCGGCAGGAAAGCAAGAUCUCGCGCUCGUGCGGCAGUACCGGGGAGUCUCGGAAGCUGGAUCAGCCAGAUGAUGGUAAUAUGGACAUACUGCAUCCUAUGUUGGAGAACCAUUUCAAUCACCACAAGAGAAUGGCAUCUAAACAAUUCUACUUCUGACACCUGAUGGAGUUUGGGUUCCUUGCCAAUGUCACCUCUGGCUUGCUUAGUUGGGGAUGCUUAAUAUUCAACAAUAUUAUUGAUUUGACUGUAUUGACUGCAUUGGCAGUUUUCUUUCAAACAGAACCAGAAAUCCCAUAGGUACCAGUGCCUCUUUGUAUUUUCUUCUUUGGGAGUUGUUUUGGGACAUUUUCUUAAAUACAGGCUACUGUAUAUUAAAAAUACAAUUACAAAAAGGGAUCAAUCUUGAUUUUAGAGAUGGUGUAAGUAUUAGUUUUAUUGUUAAGUAAUGAAAAUUGCAAGUAAUUUUUUGCUAUUUUGUUUUUGGAAAUGUAUAAUCUGAUAAUAUUUGUAAGAAGAGUAACUGUUUUGAAAGUGUUAUAAAGUUGUUAUUUUUAUAUUGUAUUAUUGUCUAUUUUUUUUAUUUACUCAGUAAUACAAAUUGUUAAUAGUUGUAAAUAGUCUCAUUUUGAACUUGGUUUAAAAUAAAACUAGAAUAAAAAUAUAUCAGGGUCCAAGCACCACAAGCUCACCAGUUAUACAAGACUA